rnacentral:rRNA from 1 species
CCUACGGGUGGCAGCAGUGGGGAAUAUUGGACAAUGGGGGAAACCCUGAUCCAGCGACGCCGCGUGAGGGAAUAAGUAUUUCGGUAUGUUAAGCUCUAUCAGCGUGAAAGAAAAUGACGGUACCUGACUAAGAAGCCCCGGCGAACUACGAGCCAGCAGCCGCGGUAAUACGUAGGGGGCAAGCGUUAUCCGGAUUUACUGGGUGUAAAGGGAGCGUAGACGGCAGCGCAAGUCUGGAUUGAAAUGCCGGGGCACAACCCCGGAACUGCUCUGGAAACUGUGAAGCUGGAGUGCAGGAGGGGGAAGCGGAAUUCCUGGUGUAGCGGUGAAAUGCGUAGAUAUCGGGAGGAACACCGGCGGCGAAGGCGGCUUACUGGACUGUAACUGACGUUGAGGCUCGAAGGCGUGGGGAGCAAACAGGAUUAGAUACCCCAGUAGUC